rnacentral:rRNA from 1 species
UACGUAGGGGGCUAGCGUUGUCCGGAUUUAUUGGGCGUAAAGAGCGUGUAGGCGGCCAGGUAGGUCUGCUGUGAAAACUCGAGGCUCAACCUCGAGACGUCGGCGGAAAACCAUCUGGCUAGAGUCCGGAAGAGGAGAGUGGAAUUCCUGGUGUAGCGGUGAAAUGCGCAGAUAUCAGGAAGAACACCCGUGGCGAAGGCGGCUCUCUGGGACGGUACUGACGCUGAGACGCGAAAGCGUGGGGAGCGAACAGG